rnacentral:rRNA from 1 species
GUUUUGCUGUCACUUAUAGAUGGAUCCGCGCCGCAUUAGCUAGUUGGUAAGGUAACGGCUUACCAAGGCAACGAUGCGUAGCCGACCUGAGAGGGUGAUCGGCCACACUGGAACUGAGACACGGUCCAGACUCCUACGGGAGGCAGCAGUAGGGAAUCUUCCGCAAUGGGCGAAAGCCUGACGGAGCAACGCCGCGUGAGUGAUGAAGGUCUUCGGAUCGUAAAACUCUGUUAUUAGGGAAGAACAAAUGUGUAAGUAACUAUGCACGUCUUGAC